UGGCUCAGAUUGAACGCUGGCGGCAGGCCUAACACAUGCAAGUCGAGCGGUUGAAGGAAGCUUGCUUCCUGAUUCAGCGGCGGACGGGUGAGUAAUGCCUAGGAAUCUGCCUGGUAGUGGGGGACAACGUUUCGAAAGGAACGCUAAUACCGCAUACGUCCUACGGGAGAAAGCAGGGGACCUUCGGGCCUUGCGCUAUCAGAUGAGCCUAGGUCGGAUUAGCUAGUUGGUGAGGUAAUGGCUCACCAAGGCGACGAUCCGUAACUGGUCUGAGAGGAUGAUCAGUCACACUGGAACUGAGACACGGUCCAGACUCCUACGGGAGGCAGCAGUGGGGAAUAUUGGACAAUGGGCGAAAGCCUGAUCCAGCCAUGCCGCGUGUGUGAAGAAGGUCUUCGGAUUGUAAAGCACUUUAAGUUGGGAGGAAGGGCAGUCAGCGAAUACCUUGCUGUCUUGACGUUACCGACAGAAUAAGCACCGGCUAACUCUGUGCCAGCAG
rnacentral:rRNA from 1 species